rnacentral:rRNA from 1 species
UACGUAGGUGGCAAGCGAUACUCGGAAUCACUAGGCGUAAAGCGCAGGUAGGCGGUUUGAUAAGUCUGUUGUGAAAGCUCCCGGCUUAACUGGGAGAGGUCAACGGAAACUAUCAGGCUAGAGUGUGGUAGAGGUAGCUGGAAUUCCCGGUGUAGCGGUGAAAUGCGUAGAUAUCGGGAGGAAUACCUAUGGCGAAAGCAGGCUACUGGACCAUCACUGACGCUGAUCUGCGAAAGCUAGGGGAGCAAACAGG